rnacentral:lncRNA from 1 species
AGCAUAUAAUUAGUUUGCUCAAAUACUUCAGAGCUAGGCUGGAAUAGAAACUAAUGUGGAAAUGGAGGUAUGGGUUGUCUAUUUUACUUUUGUUAGAUUGGUGGAUGUGCAGAUGAAAUUGGAAGAAAGACUUGACAGCUGUCAUUAGUUUCUUGUAGUUACCGAUAGUCUAUUGAUGUUACCUCAUAUGUGCAACUCCUUCGUCAAUGUACUAUUGAUCAUUUGCUACAAAUCGAAAUACUUAUACGUAAUCGUACGAGCCGUGUAUAAUUUUAGCCGUUUGCUGCUGCGCGCUGAUCUCCGCGCCGCUACGCGCGCCGUUAAUUGUACGUACGAACAAUCGUACACAUAGCACUGCUCGUUAUAAGUUGAUGCUGGUCCAAUCUUAGCCAUACAUGCAAGUUCAGGAAAAUACCUAUGAACCACUGAAGCUUGACCACAAGGUAUAACCAAUGCAUUCGAUAGAGCACUCCAUGGAACAUGCAUAUUUACAUUCUCUCAUAAAUCAAAUUAUGAGCUUUCCCCGUCAUCAGUCUAUAGUGUAACCAUAGGGUUAUUAUAGAUAUCGAAUGCAUGGACUACUCAUGAACACGCCAUUCAGUUCCAUCCAACUUCAGCCUCUCUCUUGCACAUCCCUUAGAGUUUCAUUACUCCCUUCCUUAGCAUCAUUCUAUUUACCAUAUUCUACAUAUAUGUUUGAUAAAAGCACGUCUCCUCCACCAUAACGCUCGUUCUUGGGCUCAAUCUUGUAUUCCUGAACCAUACAUCUGAAUGACAACUGGCCUUAUUCAAUUAAACCAGCAUGACAGAAAGAAUAGAGCAAGAAUUAGUGUAUUGUAUAGAAGCAUCAGAAAUAACAAACAUAAAUGGAUGUAAAUAUGCAAGAGCAUAUAAUUGGUUUGCUCAAAUACUUCAAAGUUAGGCUGAAAUAGAAAUUAAUGUGUUCCCCCCUCCUGCACCUCGAAUUUCAGUAAACCAUAUGCAAAGAUAUUGAGGUGUCAAUUUCCAAAAUCUCAAGAGUAUGAACGGCCCAGUUUUUAAGCUGAGAAAUUUCAACUUCCAACAUUUCUACCAAUUCCCGAAUACAUCGAUUUAAUAUUUACAAGUUGUUCUCCUACAAGACUAGAGUUAUUUCAUAGGUCGAUG